UGCAAGUCGAACGAACUCUGGUAUUGAUUGGUGCUUGCAUCAUGAUUUACAUUUGAGUGAGUGGCGAACUGGUGAGUAACACGUGGGAAACCUGCCCAGAAGCGGGGGAUAACACCUGGAAACAGAUGCUAAUACCGCAUAACAACUUGGACCGCAUGGUCCGAGUUUGAAAGAUGGCUUCGGCUAUCACUUUUGGAUGGUCCCGCGGCGUAUUAGCUAGAUGGUGGGGUAACGGCUCACCAUGGCAAUGAUACGUAGCCGACCUGAGAGGGUAAUCGGCCACAUUGGGACUGAGACACGGCCCAAACUCCUACGGGAGGCAGCAGUAGGGAAUCUUCCACAAUGGACGAAAGUCUGAUGGAGCAACGCCGCGUGAGUGAAGAAGGGUUUCGGCUCGUAAAACUCUGUUGUUAAAGAAGAACAUAUCUGAGAGUAACUGUUCAGGUAUUGACGGUAUUUAACCAGAAAGCCACGGCUAACUACGUGCCAGCAGCCGCGGUAAUACGUAGGUGGCAAGCGUUGUCCGGAUUUAUUGGGCGUAAAGCGAGCGCAGGCGGUUUUUUAAGUCUGAUGUGAAAGCCUUCGGCUCAACCGAAGAAGUGCAUCGGAAACUGGGAAACUUGAGUGCAGAAGAGGACAGUGGAACUCCAUGUGUAGCGGUGAAAUGCGUAGAUAUAUGGAAGAACACCAGUGGCGAAGGCGGCUGUCUGGUCUGUAACUGACGCUGAGGCUCGAAAGUAUGGGUAGCAAACAGGAUUAGAUACCCUGGUAGUCCAUACCGUAAACGAUGAAUGCUAAGUGUUGGAGGGUUUCCGCCCUUCAGUGCUGCAGCUAACGCAUUAAGCAUUCCGCCUGGGGAGUACGGCCGCAAGGCUGAAACUCAAAGGAAUUGACGGGGGCCCGCACAAGCGGUGGAGCAUGUGGUUUAAUUCGAAGCUACGCGAAGAACCUUACCAGGUCUUGACAUACUAUGCAAAUCUAAGAGAUUAGACGUUCCCUUCGGGGACAUGGAUACAGGUGGUGCAUGGUUGUCGUCAGCUCGUGUCGUGAGAUGUUGGGUUAAGUCCCGCAACGAGCGCAACCCUUAUUAUCAGUUGCCAGCAUUAAGUUGGGCACUCUGGUGAGACUGCCGGUGACAAACCGGAGGAAGGUGGGGAUGACGUCAAAUCAUCAUGCCCCUUAUGACCUGGGCUACACACGUGCUACAAUGGAUGGUACAACGAGUUGCGAACUCGCGAGAGUAAGCUAAUCUCUUAAAGCCAUUCUCAGUUCGGAUUGUAGGCUGCAACUCGCCUACAUGAAGUCGGAAUCGCUAGUAAUCGCGGAUCAGCAUGCCGCGGUGAAUACGUUCCCGGGCCUUGUACACACCGCCCGUCACACCAUGAGAGUUUGUAACACCCAAAGUCGGUGGGGUAACCUCUUAGGA
rnacentral:rRNA from 1 species